GCUGGUUAAUUAGAGGUGUAGUUUUACAGACUUUUCUCCACCGGCUGGCUGUCACCUCUGAUCCUUCAGUUCUCAAUCCACUGAGAAGGGAAGCUUACAGGCAUGAGCCACUGGCACCCAGCUUGCCAGCCAUUCAGUGACACAGGACACUGCAUCCCACAGCUCAGCA